GGAAGAGCAUCGUCUCCGGUGGGGCGCGCGGCCUUCAAAGCCGUUGAGACCUCUAAUCGAGGUCUGGUGGGUUCGACUCCUACCUCUUCCGCCA
rnacentral:tRNA from 2 species